AUUGAACGCUGGCGGCAGGCCUAACACAUGCAAGUCGAGCGGAUGAAGGGAGCUUGCUCCUGGAUUCAGCGGCGGACGGGUGAGUAAUGCCUAGGAAUCUGCCUGGUAGUGGGGGAUAACGUCCGGAAACGGGCGCUAAUACCGCAUACGUCCUGAGGGAGAAAGUGGGGGAUCUUCGGACCUCACGCUAUCAGAUGAGCCUAGGUCGGAUUAGCUAGUUGGGGGGGUAAAGGCCUACCAAGGCGACGAUCCGUAACUGGUCUGAGAGGAUGAUCAGUCACACUGGAACUGAGACACGGUCCAGACUCCUACGGGGGGCAGCGGUGGGGAAUAUUGGACAAUGGGCGAAAGCCUGAUCCAGCCAUGCCGCGUGUGUGAAGAAGGUCUUCGGAUUGUAAAGCACUUUAAGUUGGGAGGAAGGGCAGUAAGUUAAUACCUUGCUGUUUUGACGUUACCAACAGAAUAAGCACCGGCUAACUUCGUG
rnacentral:rRNA from 1 species